rnacentral:rRNA from 1 species
UCGUAGGUGACCUGCGGAGGAUCAUUACCUAGAGUUGUAGGCUUUGCCUGCUAUCUCUUACCCAUGUCUUUUGAGUACUUACGUUUCCUCGGCGGGUCCGCCCGCCGAUUGGACAAUUUAAACCAUUUGCAGUUGCAAUCAGCGUCUGAAAAACUUUAAUAGUUACAACUUUCAACAACGGAUCUCUUGGUUCUGGCAUCGAUGAAGAACGCAGCGAAAUGCGAUAAGUAGUGUGAAUUGCAGAAUUCAGUGAAUCAUCGAAUCUUUGAACGCACAUUGCGCCCCUUGGUAUUCCAUGGGGCAUGCCUGUUCGAGCGUCAUUUGUACCUUCAAGCUUUGCUUGGUGUUGGGUGUUUGUCUCGCCUUUGCGUGUAGACUCGCCUUAAAACAAUUGGCAGCCGGCGUAUUGAUUUCGGAGCGCAGUACAUCUCGCGCUUUGCACUCAUAACGACGACGUCCAAAAGUACAUUUUUACACUCUUGACCUCGGAUCAGGUAGGGAUACCCGCUGAACUUAAGCAUAUCAUAAGGGAAGGAA